AGCGCAGUGAGAUCCGGUGGCUAUUCACGAUGCUCCAUGGUGGAGCAGUGCUCCGUGUUUGUACUUCCGGUGACGGCCAUUUCAUACGACGCUCGAUGUACACUUGGAUAUAUCGUUUAACGGUUGAUUCGUAGGAUUGCUUGUCCAAAACUGAACGAGGACCGGCUUCUGGUAAUGAUGAAGACGGACGAUAAUCAGGCACAAAACAAUGAUGAUAGAGAUAGAAGCAGAGAGCGCGACCGUAAUCGAAGGUCAGACAGACCAAACCGCAUAAACUCGGCCAGUCGCGAUCGCAGUAGAGACAGAAACGAUCGCGGCAGGAAGGCUUCUGAACGGCGAAUUUAUGUUUCCAAUAUUCCUUACGAUUUUCGUUGGCAAGAUCUUAAGGAUUUAUUUAGAACCGAAGUUGGUAAGGUAGCGCAUGUGGAGCUCUUUACGGAUGAGAAUGAUAAGCCUAGAGGAUGUGGGAUAGUGGAGUUCGAAGAUUCAGAUUCGGUGAAGAUAGCAGUAGAAAAGAUGCACCGAUAUGACAUCAAAGGCAGGAAGCUUGUUGUUAAAGAAGAUUUUGAUGUAGAACGUGAUAAAUACGGCCGUUUAGCAACAGGCCGUAACAAUGAUAGAAAUCGUGACGAUAGAUUCAGAGAUCCUCCAAGACCACAAGGAGGCGGAAGACAAAAUAUGUCUGCACCUAGCGGUGGCGGAGGCGGUGGCGGCGGUGGCGGUGGUGGCGGCGGUGGUGGUGGUGGCGGCGGUGGUGGAGGUGGAGACAAUAAAUUUGGAAACACUUAUGGUCUUAGUACACAAUUUUUAGAAUCUUUAGGCAUCAAUGGUCCUUUGGUCACAAGAGUCUUCGUCGCUAACUUGGACUACAAAGUUGACGAGAAGAAGCUACUUGAAGUUUUCAAAUUGGCUGGAAAAGUGUUGCAUGUUGAAUUGGGAAAAGACAAGGAUGGUAAAUCAAGAGGUUUUGGAGUCGUUGAAUAUGAUCAUCCGGUAGAAUCGGUACAAGCUAUUUCAAUGCUUCAUAAUCAACAGCUGUAUGAUAGACGUAUGACUGUCAGACUUGACAGAGCUAAUGAACCUGAUAUGCCACCUAAAUUACCAGAAGGUUUGAAGGGUAUCGGCAUGGGACUUGGAGCCGGUGGUAACAGAUUGUUAGAUGUUGCUAGAAAUAUUCCUAAUGUGCAAGCAAACAAUCCACCAGUGGUAAAUCCAAUCUCAGCGCCUGUCUUAGCUGCGGGCGCUUUCGGCGCCGGUUUAAAUAAUGUUGUACCUGCGCAAUUAGCAUCGGCAUUAUCAAACACAAAUGCAGCAGCCCUUCAAGCUAGCCUUGCCGGUGCCGGUUUAGGUGCUAAUCUCACCACAAGCUCACUGCUGAAUUCCUCAUUGACGAGUGAAUUAGCAUCGAACUUGAAUAACUUUGGAGGUGGAGUCGGUAGUUUAAGCGGUUUACAGGCUUCUUUAGCUGGUGGACAAGGGAAUAAUACGUUUACGCCGCGUGGAUUAUCCAAAUUGGAUAACGAUAUAGGAUUUGGUGGUAACAAUGCCUUUGGUGGCUCUAAUUUUGGUGGUGGCGGCAGAGAUUUCGAUGGAGGAUUUAACAGAGGAGACAGUGAUCGUGUUUCUGGUGGCGGCGGUGGGUUUUCUGGGAACCAGGGUCAAAGCGGUGGCGGUAACCGACAGAACUCCAACGGUUCAAGACAGAUGUCAGAUACUAUACUUAUAGGCAACCUACCUCCAAAUACUACAUGGCAGAUGUUGCGUGAUAAGUUCCAGGAUGCCGGAGAGGUAAAAUUUGCGGAAAUGAGAGGUGCCGAUAUGGGCAUGGUACGGUUCGCAUCUGAAUGGGAUGCCGAGCGUGCUGUGACUAUGAUGAAUCGAUCGCGUAUUGAUGGCAGAACGAUUGAUGUGCGUCUCUACUAAGAAUGGGAAGGAUAAGCCUCGAGGGAUUCAAGCGUGAGGAAGCUGGGUGUUUGUGUCGUCUGCAGGAUUCCACUCCUAAUGACAAUACUUGAAAUUCAUCCUAGUUGUCUGGCAGAACUUAGGACAGUGAGUGAGAAGUGUCUAUCUUUGGAAGAUCAGCAAGUCGUGUUUGUGAUGGCUACUCAAUGUUGUAACAGUCACUAUGACCACUGAUUGACGUACACUCUCCACACCCUCUCUCUUUCUCUUUAUCCCCUUUCAACUUUUCAAUUCUGUAUUGUUUAUAUAUCACCAGACUAUCGUUCCUUUUUACAAUGGAAGUCUACUAAUUGUUCACUUCUUAUAUCAUUUUUUUUUCUAGCGAUCGUGACUAUAGUUGUUUUUAGGCUUAGGUUUCAUGAUGAUAAGUAAGUCAGUAGGUUUCUUUUCAGUGUGUGUAGGUUAUUCACUAUUUACAGGUUAAUUACCGUAAUUAGCGAUUCUGUAGUCUGUAAGUCUGUAUUUCUUAAUUAUCAUGACGAGAGAUCGAUCGGUUUUCCAUCAUUUCGAUCUAACGUGAUGCUCUGCUCAUUCGCAGCUGAGUCCAUCAAGGGAUAGAGAUUAAUCUUUCGUUCAUGAAAACACAUUUUUUAACGUUGUAAAAUCGUUAUUCGAUCGAAGAUUUCCGGCUUACGAAUUAUCGAGGUACGCUCGUUUAAAAUCUUACUUUAUGCAGAUCGUGAAUUUUUUGUGUUGGAUAUUCUUGUCGCAUCGUUCGCACUUAUGCGUAAGAAAAAGCACAUGUGGUAUUUGACAGGGGACAGCGCUUUGUCGCCACGAUUUCUACGUGAUCACAUCGUUUAUUAUUAUUAAUUUUUUUUUAUUUACCGUACUACAUACAUACUGUUUUGCAUCUUUGUAAGAAUAAUUUUACGACCCCUAAAUGAAGCAUAAGAGAAAAAUUUGUUGUAGUCCGCCGCUUUUAGGAAGAUCCCCUCUCAGUUUACUCAAACUCGCUUCAAUACUUCAGCGAACGUAUAUCGGACGAUUUAGAUUCGGCAUAAAUUCUGCGUUUUAUGGACCGUAGUAUGUUUACCAAAAAGUAAAUCGAACCUCUCGUGACAUUGAAUAGCGUCUUUUAAUCUUUUCUGUUCCCCCACAGAAAUGUACGCGGACAAGACUUGGAUUGAUUCCGGUACAAUGGACGAAUUGCAUUUGGUGUCACCGAAAUAUUUUUUGGUAAACAUAACUCUUCUCUCGCCAUGUAGAUCUCGAGGAAUAUUCUAUUGUAUAACACUCUUGUAUAACCACCAAUCAUAACAGUGAUUGAAUAAAAUCCAAAUUCAUUUUGGCUAUAAAAAAAACUAUGCUGGUCGUUGUGUUUUAUUUCUGUGCUGUUGUGUGAAAUUUUUAUUAUUUUUUUUUAAGCGAUCACUCUUGUUGGUUCGGAUGGAUCUUGUCAAGUGAGUUUUAGUAUGCGAUGCAACUAAAUGUUUAAAUGGUACGAUUAAUCAUAACUGUCCUAUAAACACGUUGCAUUUAAGCAGUAUACGAGUCCAUUCGUUUAUUGAUACGUCUUAAAAUACAGAUCACUCCUCAGAUUAUCUUCCGUACAAUUGGGACGUCAGUAUCUGCGCAAUGAGGAGGAAGAUGCUCUUUCAAGCUCGCAGGUCACGAUCGAGAAAACAUCUGUUCCAAAAAUGUGACAAUGACAGGUAAGUUUUAACAACUGACAAUCACUUCACGCAUUUGUUUUUUUUCCAGGGAAACUAUUACGUGCGACGUUUGUGGCUGCGUUCCACGAUUCACUGUGAGUACUGGAAAUCUAUAGUAUACGUAAUGUAAACUAUAGAUUUUCAGUACUCGUGAGUAACGGAACACAGCUUGUAUCUGUGAGUCGUGCGAAAUAAAAAAGAGUGAAUUGUCAAAUCAUACUUUCAAUUACAGUUGUAUUUCUUCAUUUACCUAUAUAUAUUAUAAAAUAGCUUUCGGUACGCGAGGGGUAAGUGUAAAGAUUACUAUCUUUGUGGAAAAUCGCGUAACACGACGUCCUAUAAUAUUAUAAUGAUGCAGUUAAUAGUUCGGACGCGCGUAAAUGUGCCAAUAACGGGAUUAUCGACUCAAACGAAACAUGUAAAACGUAUAUAAAAUUGUAUAAUAACGGUAAAUACGGGUAUGUAAUUCAUAUGUGUAAAUUAGUCUUAAUGGUACAAACAGUACUGCGACAAUCGUGUUCACAUUUAGCGCAAGGAGUGCACUAUUCAACAGCUCUCAAAAGAAAAAGGCACCUUGAAUACGUCCGUUUAUAUUGUUUAUGUUGUAUAUAUUUAUAUAUAAUUAUGUAAAGACGCGUCUUUUCUCUAUAGACUAUGGAUUAUCACAUUUCAAAUAAAUAUGAAUGCGCACAA